rnacentral:lncRNA from 1 species
UCUAUGUUGCUCGGAGUCUCCAGAAAUGCUGCUGCACUUGUGUUGGAUCUUGAAACAAUGCUGCUACGACUGGAGGAUCCGACGUGCGGUUGGCACAUUUUUGAAGAGUCCGAGCAACGUAGAAAAUAACAGUGUGAUCUGGUGCACAACUGCACAUUAUCUCAAUUUGCAUUUUCUUACAAGAGAUGAAAAGUAAAACAACAAAGAUACUAUGAUAGUUAAGAGAUAAAGUGGAUAUCAAAAUGUAACUUUUCUACAAUAGUGUUGCAUUUUUGUUGCAUCUUCAUGUUCAACAUCAUCUUGUCUCAUGUUUUAUUACGACCUUAUUUACUAUCUUUGUGUCGUGAGCCGAGGGUCUAUCGGAAACAGCCUCUCUACUUCUCCGGAGGUGGGUGGUAUGGACUGCGUACACUUUACCCUCCCCAGACCCCACUAGGUGGGAAUACACGUUGUUGUCGUCUUCAUGUUCAACAUGACACAUAGAACUGGCAAAAAUACGUUGCUUUCUUUGUCUUUUUUUCUUUUUAACGUUCUUUCUUUGUCCUAUCUUUCUGCAGCACAAGCCAUUGAAGGAUUUGAGUGGACAAGUUUGUGAUAUAUGUGGGGAUGAAAUAGGCCUAACAGUGGAUGGUGAUCUUUUUGUGGCCUGCAACGAGUGUGGUUUCCCUGUGUGUCGGCCGUGCUAUGAGUAUGAGAGAAGAGAAGGAACUCAACAGUGUCCACAGUGCAAGACCAGAUACAAACGUCUCAAAGGUAUAUAUAUCUUGAUGAACAAAACGUUCACAUCCAUGAAAACUUGUUCUGGUUGUUCGUGUUGUUUCUUUUUGUUUUCAAUUGUAUUUGAUGGAUUGAAGGGAGUCCAAGGGUGGCGGGAGAUGAAGAUGAGGAAGAUAUUGACGAUAUUGAACAUGAAUUCAAAGUUGACGAUGAACAAAACAAGAACAGAAACAUUGUUGAGACCAUUCUCCAUGGUAAGAUGACAUAUGGAAGAGGACCAGAAGACGAAGAUUCUGCUCAGUACCCUCCCGUCAUUGCUGGGACACGCUCACACCCGGUAGGGACAUUGGAAUCCGUACCAAGUAUUACAAAGACAAGAAAAUUUUGAAUACGUUGGAUAUGAAUGUAUUUUGUGGAUGCAGGUUAGCGGUGAGUUCCCAAUAUCAAACCAUGGAAAUGGAGAGCAGACGUUGGGAUCUUCACUUCACAAAAGGAUACAUCCCUAUCCAGCUUCUGAAAAUGGAAGUGCAAGAUGGGACGAUAAGAAAGAGGGAACGUGGAAAGAAAGAAUGGACGAUUGGAAAAUGCAGCAAGGACACGUGGGGGAAGAUUAUGAUGACUCUGCUGACCCUGAUAUGUCCAUGUAAGUGGUUAUGAUUGAUCUUUAACAUGAAAAUGUUAUGCAAAUACAUAUCGUGAACCAUAAUACUGAUGCGUUGGGAAUCGGAACAACACACGAGCAAAAUGCUCACACCUAGGUUGGUUCCUGUGGUUGGACAUAGUAGAUACAGAUACUAGCACUUGACUAUUUAAAUUCACUCCCUUUUUUCUCAUUCACAUUCACAUUCACAUAAAUGGAAGUGAAAGGAGCACAUGACGCGUUCAUGCCAGUAGGAGCAAGAAAUUAGUGGAAAUGAGAACACAUUUAUAGAUAUACAGAGACGUAUAGUCAGUAAAAAAUUUCGGGUAUAUCUACUCUUGUAGCUAUCAGAUUCGCUAGAUUGCGGUGAUUUCUUCUCAAACACAUAAGUUCAAUACUUGACAUUAUGAAUACAAAGAGCAACAUGGUUUCAGCUAAUAGAUGUGAGAAAAUGCAGGGUGGAUGAAGCAAGACAGCCUUUAUCGAGAAAAGUGCCAAUAGCAUCAAGCAAGAUCAAUCCUUACCGGAUGGUGAUUGUAGCUAGGCUGGUGAUUCUAGCCAUCUUCCUUCGUUAUAGAAUUCUGAAUCCAGUGCAUGAUGCGAUUGGUCUCUGGCUAACUUCUAUCAUCUGUGAGAUCUGGUUUGCCGUCUCUUGGAUCCUUGAUCAGUUU